ACCUGGAUGGCUUAAUCAGUUAAGCCUCUGACUUCAACUCAGAUCAUGAUCUCAGGGUCCUGGGAUCAAGUCCCACAUCAGGCU
rnacentral:tRNA from 1 species